CCACAGGAGAGGAAUCACAUGAGUCAAAUGAUGUCGUGAAAGACAUUGUGAAGGAGCUGCAGAAGGGACGUGGGAUGGACGUAGAGGCUCUAUGGAAGGCAGCAUUUCCUGAAGGAAGAGAGGCAAAGCCAGGCACAGGCAUGGGCACAGGAGUGAUGAGCCAAAAGUCUGUGCAGAAGGAAGAACUUUCCAGUGGAAGCAGUGGCUCGGUGCCAGCCUCUCCUGCAGGAGGGACAGCGAUG